GACGUAGGGCGCGAGCGUUGUCCGGAUUUAUUGGGCGUAAAGAGCUCGUAGGCGGCUUGUCGCGUCGACUGUGAAAUCCCGCGGCUCAACUGCGGGUCUGCAGUCGAUACGGGCAGGCUAGAGUUCGGUAGGGGAGACUGGAAUUCCUGGUGUAGCGGUGAAAUGCGCAGAUAUCAGGAGGAACACCGAUGGCGAAGGCAGGUCUCUGGGCCGAUACUGACGCUGAGGCGCGAAAGCUAGGGGAGCAAACAGG
rnacentral:rRNA from 1 species